UACAGAGGGUGCGAGCGUUGUCCGGAAUUACUGGGCGUAAAGGGCUCGUAGGUGGCCAACUAAGUCAGACGUGAAAUCCCUCGGCUUAACCGGGGAACUGCGUCUGAUACUGGAUGGCUUGAGAUUGGGAGAGGGAUGCGGAAUUCCAGGUGUAGCGGUGAAAUGCGUAGAUAUCUGGAGGAACACCGGUGGCGAAGGCGGCAUCCUGGACCAACACUGACACUGAGGAGCGAAAGCCAGGGGAGCAAACGGG
rnacentral:rRNA from 1 species